GAUGCGUUCCUGGAAGUCUCGCGAUGUUGCACCUCUGGGUUUAGAAACUCUGUGAUUUGGUCUAUAAAACAGGGUGUCACUCCCGGUCUACAUCUUGGUAGAGAUACAUCCCGACCUAUGGGCUCUACUUGGCUUCUAUUUUGUACAUCUACUUGUGAUUUCUGUCUGGUUGACAUCCAUCGGAAAGCUUCGUUGAUCUAAGAAAGUCAGAGACCAACAAGCGAAUGGGUGGAGACUGGUCAAAAGAUCGAGCGGAUAAGGCAGAGAGAGACCUCGAUCAAGCCAAAACUGAAAAACAGAAAGUGGAGGAGGAAAAGAGGAGGACUGAAGAGGAAAACAAGCAACUCCUUGCUGAGAAAGUGAGAAUGGAAACAGAAAAAAAGAUGGAAGAAAAACGAAGACAGGAGCUUGAGAACCAAAGACUAAAAUUAAUAGAACACAAUAGACAGCGAGAGAAGGAUGAAAGGACCAGGAUAAAGCAGGAAAAAGAAAAUGCAAAAGGAGAUCACAGAACUGUAUAAAUGUAUUCAAAUAUUAAGAGACAAGGGCAUAAACAGUUAAUUUAUCCACAAUGAAUUAUUGGAGAAAGUACACAAUCAUUGUAUACUUUUAAUAUCUACAAUUGCACUGCCUGUUUUAUUUUCCUCAAAUGAUGUGCUUAAAGGGAUAGUUCACACAAAUGACAAUGAUUUAAUAGCCCUGUUAGCAGUCUUUGGUUUUGUUUACCUGGCUGCUGCCAUCAAAUGCUUUUCAAAACCAAUGCCUGUCAAUAUCUGAGAAUCUGUAGCUUUGCAAUAAAUAGAUUCUAUUGAUG